UAGUUGAAAUGGUUCAGGUUAAAUCCUGCUAAAAUGCACCAUCUGCUGGUAAAACGGGGUAUUGCAUUCACCCUAGAAAGAGCGGGGUAUUAUGGGUAAUCCUCAGAGCCAUGAGGAUCACUGUCGAGGAGUUUCUUUCAUGCCAGAGACUGACUUUACCUCGGUGCCCAUGUGUGAAAUGCAGGUAUGAAAUAAAGAAAACAACUGAUGCCAGAUUGAGCUCCUAGUCGUUCAUUUCUGCACCAAGAAGCCACCAGAUCCACGUAGGCCACACAU